rnacentral:piRNA from 1 species
UGGCAGCCCAGCUCGGUGUCCCUGUAACCC